rnacentral:tRNA from 1 species
UGAUAAGAAGAGGACUUAAACCUCUGUUGAUGGGGCUAC